rnacentral:misc_RNA from 1 species
AUCCUCUUAGGGAUAAACGAUGUCUUUAACUGGCCAGGGUUAGGGAUUUGGAUGUUAUUGAAAUGUUAGGCUCGCAAACAUCGGGUGUGUCGUUGUACCGUUAUCAUCGAUUGUCCAACAUUUCAUGCAUAGUGACUUUUAGAAACUCUUCUCAUUUAUUCAUUCAAACAUUUCCAAGUUUUCCUCAUGCCGUCUGUUAGCGUUAAUCCGCCCUCCUUAUGCUUCAACAUAUUGUAUCGUACUCAGGCGUUUUCAUGAGUUUAAAAUCUUCAACCAAACUUUCGAAUCAAUAAGAUGGAUUUCCAUGCAGCAAUGGAAACCUUUGCUGAAGCAUGGGUGGCGGCGAAUACCCCCACAGCUGUCAAUGCAAGCGAGAUUCCUCAGGUUUCCCUUGCUGAAGAUAUACCCUCACAAAUUCAGAUGGAGCAGAAAAUCAAAAAGAGAAGUAACAUCCAUUCCCCUGGCCAGGGGCAAUCUACAGCUGCUACAACUGGAGUUAAAUCUUUGCCCAUCCAUUGUGUGAUUGAGCAAACAAAUGGACCUUUGACCUUUGAACCUGACAACACUGCCACCUACAAUGUGGAGUUGGAUACGUAUGCUAUAUUGCCAUGUACAACCCUGUUCUCGGAGCUUUUACGAACAGCACUCGUCAAACUUGGAUACAACGCCAAUGAAGCCAUGAACGCAAAAGGUGCCAUUCAGAUCAAGAACUGGAAGCCACUCAGUUUUGAAACCAUUACUGAAGACAGUAAGUCAACAAUUGAGGACAUUCUGGGUGACCUCACACAGACAGCCAAACUGAGGAUCAGACUCUGCAGGUAAGUUUGUCUGUCUGAGACCAAAAAAACAGACAAAAAUGGACAUCUGUCAGGCCAUGAGAGUGAACCUUUCUAUUCACUUGAUUCCAGGAAAUAUAUUGCGCAUAUAUACACAUGAAAUUUUAGGAACAUUAUUUGAAACUUAUCAUUUCAACAAAUUCCUUUUGUUAUCGUUUAUUUUCUGUCAU